ACUCAAGUCUGGAUGACAGAGCAAGACCAUGUCUAAAAAAAAAAAAAAACAAAACAAAACCAAAAACCAAGAGUCCACAGUGAUACCAUGAAUGCCCAUGGCUGCAACAAUAAUGCCUUGACCAGAAGUAGGGGGAUAAGGGAAAAGAUAGAGCCAACAUGAACCCCGAUUGACCCUCCCUUGCUCCAUCCAUGACAGAAAGCCUCCUAUUUCUGAAUUCACCAGGCUCAUGCUGCCUCCAGGACUUUGCAUGGGUAGCAGCAUUAGCCUAGAAUUUCACUUCUCUUUAAUUCCCACCCAUCUCUCACUUAACUAAUCCCAACUCACCCAUAAGGAUCUAAGUCAGAUAUUACCUACUAAAAGAAACCUAUCUGGCCCUAAUGCCUGGGCAAGGGCUUCUCCUGAAUGCUUCCACAGCACUGCGGACCUACUCUUAUUGUGGCCCAUUUCACAGUAUAUUGGGAUUAUCUGUUUGACUCUCUCCCCAGUAGAUCUGGAGUUCCUUAACAACAGGAAGAAUCUUCUUUACUUUUCUUCCAAAAACAGAAAUCGCUUUACUGUUUUUUGUUUGUGUUGCUGUUGCUUCAGUGGUCAUAAAAGUACUACAUGUGCCUGUCUGUUCCAGUUGUUCUCUUUCUCAGUGGAGGGCAUAACCUAGUAGUUGACCAAGCAAGAAAACUUGACAUCAUUUAUUCGUUCAAAACAAACAAAAAAGAAGAAAAGAAAAGGGCAUGCCUACUAUGUACCAGGCAUUAUGCUAAUCACUGUAUCUAGAAGUGAAAAGACAACCACUGUCCCUGCUAUAGUGAGCUCAUGUUCUAACAGAAAAGGCAGACUUUGAACAAAUAACUCACGUUAUUGAAGAGAGAGGUGAAGGUAGUCUGGAAGUUUACGACAAGGUGACAGUGGGUAGGAUGUGAGUGAAGAGAUGAAUUGGUGAUCAGUCGUCUUUGGGUUUCUUCAGCCUCACUGGUUCUACAUCCAGUCAAUGGCUUAGCUCUAUCAAUUCUGCCUCUGAAAUUUCUUUCACCUGUCCAUUUCUCUAAUUUUUAUACUGGCAUCUCCACCAACCUUUGCCUGGAAUACUGCAACUGUUUUCUCUGCCUCUAGACUACUCCUCCUAUGCAGAGGCCAUAAGGAAGCCAAAAGGAUCUUUCUAAGAGGAAAAUCUGAUCAUGUCACCUCUCUGUCUAAAAGCUUUCAGCAGUUCCCUUGAGCUCAGAUAAAAUUUAAAAGCCUUUACAUAACUUGCAAGACUCUGUAUGAUGACUCCUCUCUCUUUUCUCUGGUUUCAGUUCUCUGCAUUCCUUACAUCCCAUUCUCUAGGAAUACUGACUAUGGUUCUUUCUCUCAUCGGGAUCUUGAUUCAAGCUAUUUCCUAUGCAUGGAACAUUCUUCAUUCUCACACUACCACCCCCUUAUUAGUGGCUACUUCUUAUUCCUUCUUCAGGACCCUGGUUAGAUGCAGUUUCCUCUAGGAAACUUUCCCUGAAUCCCCCAAUCUCUUCAGAUUGAGUAAGUGCCCAGUUAUAUAUUCCAUAGCACUCUUUACUUCUAUUACAAUAAUAAUUACAUUCUGUUGGAAUUUGCUAAUCUGUAGACUCUAUGAAGGCAGGAACCAUGUUUGCCUAUUCAAUAUUGUAUCUGCAAUGCUUAAGGUAUGCUGCACAUAGUAAAAGCCCUAGAAUAUUUUUUCAAUGAAUAGAUAAUUAAAAUAAAUAUAAUACUCAGUUAUAAAGAAGGCAAUAGGCUAAUUCCAUCAUCCAGACAUAAUCAAUAUCAAUGUUUUGGUAUGUAUCCUUCCAGACAUUUCCAUCUUUUCUCCCUCAAAAAUGAGAUCUUAUUUUUUGUAAUAUUCAGUCAAAUUGCUGUUGCCGUUGUUUUGUUUAAUCUUAAAUUUGUUAUAAUGGACAUCCUCCCAAGUCAGUACAUUGCUCUAUAAUGUUCUAUUGUAUAUAUAUUCCACACUUGAAAUAAUCCUCACCUUGAGUACUAAUAUUGUAUUGGUAUAGAGAAUACUGAAAUAUAAACACUCAUCCUUGAACAUACAUUUUCUUUUUUUUUGUUUUUUUUGAGACGGAGUCUAGCUCUGUCACCCAGGCUGGAGUACAGUGGCAAUCUCGGCUCACUGCAACCUCUGCCUCCUGGGUUCAAGCGAUUCUCCUGCCUCAGCCUCCUGAGUAGCUGGGAUUACAGGUGUGCACCACCACACCUGGCUAAUUUUUGUAUUUUUAGGAGAGACAGGGUUUUACCAUGUUGGCCAGGCUGGUCUCGAACUCCUGACCUCAGGUGAUCCGCCUGCCUCAGCCUCCUAAAGUGCUGGAAUUACAGGCGUGAGCCGCCACGCCCGGCCGAAAAUACAUAUUUUCAUACAUUCAUUCUUGAUCAUUGUGCAACUAACAGCUAGAACAUGGCCUGGCACCCACGAUGCACUCAUAAAUGGAUGAGUGGAUUAACAAACAAAUGAAUAAGGGGGUCAGCUAUCAGUAAGCAUAAUAAAAUUGUGGCUAAGAGUUUAGGCACUAGAACCAGUACACUUAUGUCCAAAUCCCAGCUCCAGCACUUGCCAUCAAUUACUAGUGUUUUCCUAGCUUCAGUGUCUCUCUACAAACAAAGACAAUGGUUGUACCAACCUCAAAAGACUAUUAGGAGAACUGAAUAAGAUAAUAAGGUCAAGUGCAUUCUCAGAACUUGGCACACUGUAAGCACUUACAAAUAUUAAUUGGUAUCAUGAUCUUUGUUGCUAUUUUUUAAAUUUAGUAUUGGAAUGGAAAUUAUCAUUAGAAUGGAAACUUUGCAAAGUCCACAGAAAGAAAGAUAGGGCUUCUCUUCGAACAACGGGAGAAGAGAAGAAAACAAGUUUUAAUGAGGAGACAGAAAGGAGAUAAUUUAAAAUUACGAAAAGAAUUAUUCUAAUUCAAGUGCUACAUUCUCUGUGAAAGUGGUUGCUCUCUUUUCUGUGUUGGUAAUCAUACCUUUCAGAAUGUUCAGGGUUGUCCAACUUUUGUAAUUUCAUUCUUUUUGAUAAAGUUUCUUUAUUAAUUGCAUGACCAAAUGUAAGCUAAUAUUUACAACUUUGAAAAGUUUACACACGCACACGCGCGUGCACAAAUUAGAAAAAAUGUUCUAUCCCAGUAUUUAAGAUUUAUUUAUUUAUUUGAGACAGAGUCUCGCUUUGUCGCCCAGGCUGGAGUGCAGUGGCUCGAUCUCGGCUUACUGCAACCUCUGCCCUCUGGGUUCAAGCGCUUCUCCUCCCUCAGCCUCCUGAGUAACUGGGAUUACAGGCGUGUGCCACCAUGCCUAGCUAAUUUUUGUAUUUUUAAUGGAGAUGGGGUUUCACCAUGUUAGCCAGGCUAGUCUCGAACUCCUGACCUCAGGUGAUUCGCUCACCUCAGCCUCCCAAAGUGCUGCAAUUACAGGCAUGAUCACCACACCUCGCCAUAUUUAAGUUUUAAAAACAUACAUUAGUUUGGCAAGUACUCCCAUCUUGAAAUAUCUCUUUCAAUAUUGCCUUAGAUGUUAUUUAAAUUAAAUCUUGUAUAAUUUAAAUUUUUUUAUGCCCCAAUCAGAUUGUACAUUCUUUGAGAAUGGAAUCUCAUGUCCAUCUUUGUAUAUUCUACAGCACUCAGAAGCAUUCCUUUUACUCUGUAGUUCUAUAAGAAAAAAAGUAAUUGAUUUGAUUCAUAUCUUUGGUAAUGUUGCUUAGGAAAGAAAACUUUGCAUGGAAAGUCUGUGGAAUGCCUGUGUGUGGAAGCCUUCUGUUUCCCUUUUUAAACAUGAGAUUGAAAAGGGAAAACAAACUGCACUUGUGAUUGCUGAAAGUUUAAUAUUUACCCCCUGCCUCCUAGUAACUUUUUGAAUGUCUUAAGAUACCAGUGAAAACAAAACCAGUAUGUUUGGGACACUGUGGUUUGGAAGAAUGAAUGCAUUUUUUUUAAAUAAAAAUGCACUUCACUAGUAGUAUUCAUUUUCCAAGGCUGUAAUUAGAGAGAAACACUCGAGAAGCACCAAAAUUGUGGAACAUAAAGAGGGCAGUGACAGGACCCCAAUUAACCUAAAUUAGCACAGGUUACCCAGACUGUGAUAACUCAGAGCUCCAGAAACUCCCCAAAAUGAAAAAGCCUUCUGCUUUUAGCACUUUUUUUUUCCUUUUUUCUCCCCAAAGACUUCAAGAUUCAAGUGGAAAAGUUCACCAGGAUGGGUGGGACCUGAACAGGCUGACUCACUGCGGUUAGAUUCAGACUGCCAAGGAAAGCUGCAGAGUACAGUUAGGCAUACACUACAGCUGGUUUUGAUGAUAUUUUCUUGUUAAAGACAACAUUAUUAGAAAAAUGUGUAAACAGGACAGGGCAGUGGAGGCCCCCUCUUGAUUUUAUAGCCAAAGACUCCCACCCUUCCGUGGCUUUUCUGUACCGUCUGCCAUGUUGAUUCUAUGUAAAAAACCCAAAUGCAGGCAUUCCACCAAUGUAAUGCUCUCCUUCUCUGAGAGUCCUUUCAUUUCCCCAAGAGCUUUGGAAUCAUUGGAGUUACAGUGGUUCCGUUACUUUAUUCUUAUAUAACUUUGGGCAAGUUAUUUGAACCUUGAUCUCUUCACUAGUAUAAUGGUUGUAAAAAUAAUAUCUAUCUCAUAAGUUAGGAAAAUGAACUGAAAAUACACUAAAUUAAAUAUGUCAAAUAUCUAGAAAAGUACCUGGUGCAUAAUGAGCACUCAAAUAGUAUUUAUUGUUAUUAGCUACUAUUGUGAUCUUCUUAAUAAAUCCUGUCAAAUAUUAUUUCAAAAAGACUCUUUCUCUCCCGUCCUUUUCAUUUUUAGUUUUAUCAUUCCAUUUAAAGUGGAAAAGAGGCCAGGCGCGUAGUUCGCGCCUGAAAUUCCAGCACUUUGGGAGGCCAAGGAGGGUGGACCACUUGAGGCCAGGAUUUGGAGACCAGCCUGACCAACAUAGCGGAACUCCAUCUCUACUAAAAAUGCAAAACAUUAGCCGGGUGUGGUGGCGGGAGCCUGUAGUCCCAGCUACUCAGGCAGGAGAACUGCUUGAAUCCAGGAGGCAGAGGCUGCAGUGAGCUGAGAUUGCACCACUGCACUCCAGCCUGGGUGACACAGCAAGACUCCUUCUCAAAAAAAAUGAACAAUAAAAAAAUAAAGUGGAAAAGAAAUGUACAUUUCUUGACUUCCUAGUUUCCCAUCCUACCCAAUCAACUAACACACCAAUACCCUCCUUAAAACUAUUCAACUUAUUGUGAAUACCAGGUAGAGGCAGAAGAGAUACAAAUCCAAUAGGAUAUCUAAUUUUUAAUACUUUUCAGCUAGUUUAGUUGAUGAAUAUUUACUGAGCACUUACUAUGUACUACAUUAUGCUAUAUUCUAGAGACUAGAAAAGAAUGGGCAAGAGGUGUUUUCUGCCCUCAAGGAGCUUAGAGUCUUGGUAUAUAUUCUGGGAUUAGAGAGUAAGAGAAGGCAUCCUAAAAUUAAAAAAUAAAUAAAUUUAAAAAGGCACCUGAGCUGAAUCUUGAAGGAUGAGUAAACUUUAACCAAAUAAACAAUAGGAGAGAAAAGGUUUUCAAGGCAGAGGGAACAGCAGGUACAAAUAAAUGAAAGUAUGAAACAGCUUUGAAUUGCAAGCAGUUCAGAAUUAAUAGAGUAAAAAUCAUGUAAUAGAGAAUACUGGAAGACAAAAGUGGAUUUACAGUUUACCUAGAGAGGCAGGAAUCUGGUAGGAUUUCAAUCUGCAUCAAUCUAAAUAGGAGGAACUAGUGAUUCCAUUUCCAAAUAAGCCAACACCUUCAUUAGCACCAAACUUUCACCAGCUGAGUUCCCCAACAUAGGACAUGCCCACUAUCUUUAGGUCACAAAGACAUCAGGUGUUUUCAGGCUCAAUCAUGAGUUAUUGGACAAGUUCCUUUGUUAUUCUUUUUGCCAUUAGUUCAUCAUUUGUAAACUGGAAUAAUAAUCAUGGCUUUUCUUUUUUUUAUUAUAUUUGAAGUUCUGGGAUACAUGUGCAGAACGUGCAGGUUUGUUGCACAGUAUACGUGUGCCAUGUUGGUUUGCCACACCCAUCAACCCGUCAUCUAUAUUAGGUAUUUCUCCUAAUAUUAUCCCUCACCUUGCCCCACAGCCCCUGACAGGCCCCUGUGCGUGAUGAUCCCCUCCCUGUGUCCAUGUGUUCUCAUUAGUCAACUCCCAUUUAUGUGUGAGAACAUAGGGUGUUUGGUUUUCUGUUCCUGUGUUAGUUUGCUGAGAAUGAUGGUUUCCAGCUUCAUCCACGUCCCUGCAAAGGACAUGAACUCAUUCUUUUUUUAUGGCUGCAUAGUAUUCCAUGGCGUAUAUGUGCCACAUUUUCUUUAUCCAUUCUAACAUUAAUGGGCAUUUGGGUUGGUUCCAAGUCUUUGCCAUUGUUAAUAGUGCUGCAAUAAACAUACGUGUGCAUGUGUCUUUAUAGUAGAAUGAUUUAUAAUCCUUUGGGUAUAUACCCAGUAAUGGGAUUGCUGGGUCAAAUGGCAUUUCUAGUUCUAGAUCCUUGAAGAAUUGUCACACUGUCUUUUACAAUGGUUGAACUAAUUUACACUCCCACCAGCAGUGUAAAAGCGUUCCUAUGUCUCCACAUCCUCUCCAGCACCUGUUGUUUCCUGAUUUUUAAUGAUCGCCAUUCUAACUGGUGAACAUGCCUUUUCACAAGGUUGUUGUAAAUGAGAUCAUGCUGUCACAUACUUAGAGCAAUAUCUGCCACAUAGAAAGUGAUCAUCAAAUGCUAGCCAGUAUUAUGUAUGUGCUGCUGAAGUCUUGCUCAUUCCAGAGAUGCUGCAGCUGGGUGCUGUGAUCAGCGAGAAAGCAUAGGGCAAGGGAUUUUUCUCAACACAUCAUUGUGACCAUUUGUAGGUAAAAUUUAUUUCUGAUCCAAUAAUGUGUUCAGAUUUAUGAUCAUGGUACAUAAACUUAUGGCCCUGAAAAAGUCACAAUUUCCGUGAGUCCUGGUUCCCUCACUUAAAAAAUGGGGAGAGUGAUGCUUGUUCCGUGUCUUAUAAAGACAAAAUAAAACAACUUAUGAGAUACACUUAACCCACUGCUCAAUACACUAAACCCACUGCUCAAUACACUAAACCCACAGAGAAUCCCUUCAUCAGUGGAUUCUCUGAGUGGGGAAAAGCGCCUACAUAACGAAGUUGGUAAGGUUGGGAAAUUAAUUAAAUCACUCACUCAUUCAAAAAUACAAAUGAAGCAUAUAUGCUAAGCAAUGCCCUCCUUUCAUCAUGGAGUGUAAUACCUAUUGACCUCAACCUGACAAACAUACAAUUGGAGUUUGUAUACACAUACAACCAUGCUGUUGGUUGUGGGUGGAGAAUGAAAGAAAAGAAACACUGUUGUAUGUUGGAAAUGUUGCUUUCUUUGUCCCUUUUUUCUACACCAACAUAAAUGAUAAUUGUCACUUUCGCUUGUUAAUUGACUAAUUAUGUUUUGGUUCCAUAAUGUGCCAGUAUUUGCAUUUUUAGUCUGUUAUCUCUUUCCCUGUAAUCAAAGAGCCUUUUUUCUCUAGAAUUUCCUACAUCAGCAAACAUUUUAGAGGUAACUGCAUUACUGAACAAUUAUAAUUACUUUUGACAGAUUGAGUACUUUUAGUAUUACUUCUCUCCUGUUCUAACUCUCUUUUUCUUACCUCUCUAUAGUCCAGUCUCUUAUUUGAACAUAUCUCUCUUCCUUCCCCCAAAUCUCCCCUCUGUCUGGAAUAUUAUACUCUACUUCCCUGACUAGUAAAAUCUAACUCAGCUUUGGAGACCUUGCUCAACGUGAAGCCCCCAGGAGAAAUGUCCUCUGGUAAGAGGCCUUUCCCUACUCCUUUAAUAAAAGUAGACAUUUUCUCUCAAGAUCUCAGAGUGUACUGUCCUUAUCUCUAUGAAAGCACUUGCCAUGCUAUAUUGUAUUUAAUGCAAUGUCUGUACUUCCAAAUAGACUAUAACUAUCUAAGGGCAGGAACUAAAGUAUCUCAUUUAAUGUGAUCAUGUGUUUGUUGCAUGGAUAAAUGAAAUAAGAAGGGAUUCCUGGCUGCUUCUUCCAGGCCUGUCUCCCUUUGUCUUUAAGCCCUGGAGGAGUCAACCCUACUUUGGCAAAAAACAUUUAGCAUGUCCCCUCCUCUCUCUGAGUACUGCUACCUAUCCUAUAUCCCAAGGCUACCAAAUGCAUAUUUUAAACUUUACAGAAAAUACCAUGUUAUUUAGUAUUUUACCAUUUUUAGGGUAGGGCAUAGGAAUGUGUUCCUAUCUCUCCUGUAUUUUUUCUAACCAAUGUUUUCUCUAAUUUUUAAACCCUUUCAUGGAGGCGUUUUGUAUUUUAGGUGCUGUCAUUCAGAGUCCACAGGAUGGAUGAAUGGAUAUGAAAAUGAACAAACGUGUGACACAACACUGCAUGAUUUACCGGCAAUGACUUUCUGAUCAAGCCUGAACAUCCCAAGACAACCAUGCUGUGAAGAAGUCGGUCUACCCCACUGGAGAAGGAAAGGCUGUUCAGGGAAGUGAAGAUGCCCCAGCUGACAGUCACCACCUGCCAGACAUGUGAGCAAGGCUGUCUGAGACCUUCAGUCUCAGUCAAGCCAUCAGAAAGUUGCAGCCAGUUGAGUGAUCCCAAGUGAGACCAGCAGCGAUAAUGCCCAGUUUGCCAAAACAGAAUUGUGAGAAAUAAUAAAUCAUUGUUGUUUUAAGCCAGGUGUGGGCAGACAUUUUCUUAAAGGACCAGACAGUGUUUUAGGCUUGUGGGUCAUAUCAUCUCUGGCACAGGUACUCAACUCUACCCUGUAACACAGAGCAGACACAGACCAUGUGUAAAUGCAUGAGUGUCACUGUGUGGCUAUAAAUCUUUACUUAUAAAAACUGACUGUUGGCCCAUGGGCUGUAGUUUGCUGCUGACCCCUGUUUUAAGUCACUAAGUUUUGGGAUGGUUUGUCACAUAACAAAAGGUAACCAAAACAGUCUCAAGGAAAGAACCAAGCUGCUAGCAAACUAUCUCUACCGAUAAUUUUUCAGGUUACUAUUUAGUAAUAGUAACAAUUAUAACAGCCAACAUAUUUAAAGGGCAUUACAUGUUACAAAAUAGUUUCACAUGAAUUAUUUCAUUUAUGAAGUCGCUGCAAUCAGUGAAAUAGACAUAAGUGAUUAUUAAGUCCAUUUUACUGAUGAAUAAGUAAAGAUUCAGAAAGUUUGCUUGACCAAGAUCACAUUGCUAAAAAGUGGCAGAACCAAUCCCAUCUUUUCUCCAUCUGUCUUUCUUAGCAGUAUGCUACUACUGUGUUAUUUUAGCAAUUAAAGGGAUUGCAAUAGGUCUGAGAGUGGGGAAAACAGGUAAAGAGGCAGAGACUCAAUCACUCCAUUAACCAAUGGAAGCAUUGCUUUGGGAGAACCUAGUGGAGUCUAAGCUGUAAUUAACCCUAUGCUUGCUUUUGAGAAGUAACAUUGUUAAAGAAUGAGAAAGCAAAGCCUCUGUCAAACAAAGUACACAGAGGACCUCAUGUUGGGGCAGGGUUGGAGUUACAGACAGGUAGAAAACAUAGAAAGCUACAUACUUUCUUGGCUGACAGAAGGAAAUAAUGAACUUUUAUUAUGGAACUAUUUUUUAAAUAAGAAGACAGUCAUGGCAAAGCAUUAAGCGCUACAGACAGUGUCAGGGCAAGUAAGAGCAAAACAGGUACUGGGUGACUGCCUGGCUGAGGAAAAGUUAACUAGACACUUGGGGAAAGGAGAUCCAAGGGAGUAAGAGGCAAAAUGCCUUUGCAUGCUUUUCUUCCUAUCUCUUUUUCUUUCUCUCCUUCUCACUCUCUCCCUUCCUUCCUUUCUUCCUUUCUCUUUCUUUAUUUUUUCUCUUUUCCCCCACCUCUCUGCCUGCCUCCUUCCUUCCCUCCCCUCCCCUCCCUUCCCCCUCCCUCCCUCCCUCCCUCCCUUCCUUCCUUCCUUCCUUCCUUCCUUCCUUCCUUCCUUCCUUCCUUCCCUCCCUCCUCUCUCCCUCCUUCCCUGCCUUCUUUCCUUCGUUCUGCCAACUUGCCAGAAGGAGCCCAAGAAAAAGCACCCAGAUGCUUCAGUCAACUUCUUAGAAUUCUUCUUUUUUUUAUGUUCAGAAAAGAUGGAAAUUCAUUUCUGCUAAAGAGAAAGAAAAAAUUGGAAGACAGGGUGAAGGUGAACAGGCCCAUUAUAAGAAAGAAACAAAAAUCUAUAUUCUGUCUACAAGGAAACGAGAGAGAGAAAGAGAGAGAAGAAAGAAGUUCCAGGAUUCUAAUGUACCAAAGGGAUCUCCUUUUUCUUGUUUUGUUCUGAAAAUUUCACCAAAAGAGCACAGGAGAACAUCUUGGCUAAUUCAUUGGCGAUGAUGUAAGAAAACUGAGAGAAAUGAAAGAAAUGAAGAAUUACUGCUGCAGAUAAUAUACAGCCUUGAGGAAAGAAAGGCUUUUAAGAUUAUAGAUAUAAAGGCUAUUGCUGUAUUCUGGGAUAAAAGAAAGUCUGAUGCAGGGAAAGGGGAAGUUGGAAAAACUGGAAAAAGAAAAAAGAAGAAAAGAAAAAAAGGACUGGAAAGACAUUGGUGAAUAGAAAGAUGAAAAGGGUGAAGAAAAAAAUGAUGAUGGUCAAUAGGGUGGUUUUAAAAGAGGCUUUUGUUUUAUUAAUUUGUUUUUGUGUGAGUGUGUGUGUAUGUGUUUGUUUUUUGCCUAAAAGUAUUUAACUCCGCAUUACACCACUGAUUUCAAAGAAAAAAAGCUGAAAUGUAAGAUCAUAUGAUUUGUUUUUAAACUGAACACUGUAUACUGUCUUUUUAUUUUUGCAAAAUUAAUGUAGUAUCCAGUGUGUCUUUAGAUAACCCUGUCCUUAAUGAUAUUUUCAAUAGCCACUAACCUUGCCUGGUACUGUUUCGGGGUUUAAACUAGAACAGAAAUUUAAGGCAGGCUUUAUUAGUGCAUAGUACAAAUCAAUUACAUAUAUAUGGAGAUAUUAUUUUUCCCUCUUCAAUUGUUUUUCAUGCAGCUUACCCAAUAUAAUUGUUCUGUUAGUUGUACACUACUCUGUGAUAGCAAAUAAUAAUAAUAAAAUAAUUAUGAUGAUA